CACAUCCAGCUACAUAAUAUCACCCUCUGCUCAUCUGUAAGGAUGGGCAUGAAGAUGGCUCAAGCAUAUAUCGACAUUUGCUCAUACUCAUCAGGUGAUCGUAAACACUGUCAUUCAGUGUGUUUACAUGCACAGUUAAUUGGAGAUUAUUGAUCAUUUAGGCAAUUCAAUUGGACUACUGUCCUUGUGCAAAUGUACAAGCACCAGGUGAAAAUCAAUCAAAGGUUGACCUGUUACAUCGCACACCAAAACAAUCGACAAGCAAGUCAGCAAGAGGCUAACCGGUUGUACCUCCAACAGUGAAAACGUGGACAACCUUCCAGCUGUUCCUACUUGCAAUCUACAAGCAAAGUCUCCAAACCUGCUCUUCAAGUAAUGAAGAGGAUGCAGCAGACAAAGAUACAACAAAGAGACUACAGCUGCACAAAUGUCAGGCUGUUGUUCAAGGAUCUGCCAGAGUCAUUUCACGUGCUGACGUCAGCCUUGGAUUCUCUGGUCGGGAGCUGGAACAUUUUCUUCUUUGUCUUUAAAGGUUUGCCAUCGUGCUUGGAUAUUGCAGGCAGAUUUAACGCCAGCUGUGACACUAGAUUGAAUGUGUGAGGGAAACACUUCACAUGCAGGUAUCCCAUUACCUGAAUGGCAAUGGCCACAUUAUAAGUGUUGUCAGUGAGGACCACCAGGUUUUGUCUGCAAUCUCUCAUAUUUUGCUGCAGGAGGUUUGCAAUGUUUGCCUCUGUGUGACUGCCUUGUCUGCAUAAUGUGAGACAGUCAACAGUCAUCCAUCUAUCUGUUAUGGUCACACAUAAAUCCACUUUCUGUAAUGUCCACAUGCAGAAAGUUAAUGCUUUCUGAAACUUUCUGAAACUUUAAUCUCCCCCUCUCUGUAGAGUUUUGAUUCAGCUGUGUUAGUUAAAAUGUUGUAGUAAAAGAUGUAGUGGGUUCCAGUGUUUUUAGCUUGUAACAAAAGCUCUCACUUUUCAUCACACUAUGGAUGUAAUUUUUAAAACAUGGAGCAGGUGAUGGAUUGCGUUUUCACCUUCACUUGUUCUGAAUUAAAAGCUUUGUCGAGCUCAGUGCGUCCAGUGUUUGCUGUAUUUUUUAGGCGUAGCUGACUUAGCACUAGCUUCUGCCCCAUCAGCUAAUGCUUUCUCUGGACGGUGGCAAAUUGGGUGAGCUUUAAUGUUCACCUUAUUCCCUGAGUGUUUUAUUUUCAUGCCCCGCUUCUUGCAAACCCCAUCUCCUUUGUCUCUUCCUUAAUAAACGUUUGAUU